UACGGAGGGUGCGAGCGUUGUCCGGAAUCACUGGGCGUAAAGGGCGCGUAGGUGGCUUGGCACGCGUGCGGUGAAAGCCCGGGGCUCAACCCCGGGUCUGCCGUGCGGACGGCUAUGGCUAGAGCACUGUAGAGGCAGGUAGAAUUCCGGGUGUAGCGGUGGAAUGCGUAGAGAUCCGGAAGAAUACCGGUGGCGAAGGCGGCCUGCUGGGCAGUUGCUGACACUGAGGCGCGACAGCGUGGGGAGCAAACAGG
rnacentral:rRNA from 1 species